rnacentral:rRNA from 1 species
GGAUUUCAGUUGGUCGGGCUUCACUGUCCGUAUUGACUUGAUGGAUUCUUACCUUCUGAAUAACCAGCAUGCUAUUAAGUUAGUGCGUUGGGGAAGCAGAUCUAUUACCUUGAAAAAAUUAGAGUGCUUAAAGCGAGCUAGAGCUUGAAUAGAUUUGCUUGAAUAGAUUAGCAUGGAAUAAUAAAAUAGGACGGCAUGGUUCUAUUUUGUUGGUUUCUAGAGUCGCCGUA